rnacentral:lncRNA from 1 species
UGGAGGGCAAGGGUUAGGAUUUCAGUUUAUCUUCCCGGUGAGGUCUGAGCACGUCUGUGCCCUGAGGUGGGUGGUUUGGUGAAGGUGGGGCUUUAACCUAGCUCUGCCACUUAGGAAUCAGAACACACACACACACGCGCGCACACACACACACACACACACACUCUCUCUCACACACACAUCGGGAUAUUUUUCUUGUUUCCUUCUUCCAGAGGGUGUAGGAGUUGUGUUCCAAGUUUGUUCCUGCAAACCCUCCGAUGAGGCCAGCUGCAUUCAUCGGGGCCUGGAUGGCCGCACCUCUCUCUCCCCGCCCUGUCUCCUGCACUCAGAUGGCAUGGGAAAGUAGCACACAGUCGGGACUCUGCAGCCGAGUUUGCCUCCUUGAAUGCACACAUAACACAGGAACAAAGACAGAGCUGCUUCCCUCCUGUUGGGUCUCUGGCGGACAGUCAGGUAUGCUGAGGGAGACACUGUUCUCAAACUCCAGGCCAGGGUGGUUUCCGGAGGGUCCACCGGUGGUCUCAUCUCUUCUCUCUCAAACCAUGGAUGGUGCCUUUUAAAGAAAAUGACACCG